UACGGGGGGUGCGAGCGUUGUCCGGAAUCACUGGGCGUAAAGGGCGCGUAGGUGGUCUGAUAAGGGUGUGGUGAAAGCCCGGGGCUCAACCCCGGGUCGGCCGUGCCGACUGUUAGACUAGAGUGCUGUAGGGGCAGGCGGAAUUCCGGGUGUAGCGGUGGAAUGCGUAGAUAUCGGGAGGAACACCUGAGGCGAAGGCGGGCUACUGGGCCGAUACUGACGCUGAUGCGCGAAAGCCAGGGGAGCAAACAGG
rnacentral:rRNA from 1 species